AUACGAUGAUGUGGGCACUUUUUUAACAACUCUUUAAAUCUUUCCCAUGCAACGUACAAUGAUUCCACUUCCAUUCGGUAGAAUUUAUUAAUUUCCCCUCUCAACUU